rnacentral:rRNA from 1 species
GAUGAACGCUGGCGGCGUGCCUAAUACAUGCAAGUCGAGCGAAUGGAUUAAGAGCUUGCUCUUAUGAAGUUAGCGGCGGACGGGUGAGUAACACGUGGGUAACCUGCCCAUAAGACUGGGAUAACUCCGGGAAACCGGGGCUAAUACCGGAUAACAUUUUGAACCGCAUGGUUCGAAAUUGAAAGGCGGCUUCGGCUGUCACUUAUGGAUGGACCCGCGUCGCAUUAGCUAGUUGGUGAGGUAAGGGCUCACCAAGGCAACGAUGCGUAGCCGACCUGAGAGGGUGAUCGGCCACACUGGGACUGAGACACGGCCCAGACUCCUACGGGAGGUAGCAGUAGGGAAUCUUCCGCAAUGGACGAAAGUCUGACGGAGCAACGCCGCGUGAGUGAUGAAGGCUUUCGGGUCGUAAAACUCUGUUGUUAGGGAAGAACAAGUGCUAGUUGAAUAAGCUGGCACCUUGACGGUACCUAACCAGAAAGCCACGGCUAACUACGUGCCAGCCGCCGCCGUAA